GAGUUAAAAAAAAAAAAAAAUUGUAGGAAGAGUUACCAUAAGAUCAAGCAGCAAUAUUAUCACUGCAACUAAAGGGCAUUCUUCAGGUGGAGCUUUCUUGAGGUAAAUGUAUACAAUGUGCAUGAUGUUUAAUCCACUCCAUCCAUCUUUAAGCCCUUUCAAGAAGUUCAAAACCUUCAUUCUUCUGGUAUUGUUUUAAAAGAUUAUCAUCAUUUUUCUUAAUGUUGAAAACAGAUUUGUUUAAACUUCUGCUGAUUUUGUAAGCAAGAAAUGAUAGAAGAACAAGACAUACCUAUCUAGGCAGAGCAACUCAACUAACACGGAAAAGGCGAAAGCGCUUGAACUUUGUUUGUUUCCAAGAACA
rnacentral:lncRNA from 1 species